UACAGAGGUCUCAAGCGUUGUUCGGAUUCAUUGGGCGUAAAGGGUGUGUAGGUGGCGCGCUAAGUCGGGUGUGAAAUUUCGGAGCUUAACUCCGAAACUGCAUUCGAUACUGGCGUGCUUGAGGACUGGGAGAGGAGACUGGAAUUCCUGGUGUAGCAGUGAAAUGCGUAGAUAUCAGGAGGAACACCGAUGGCGAAGGCAGGUCUCUGGGCUGACAGUGACGCUCGAUGCACGAAAGCGUGGGAG
rnacentral:rRNA from 1 species